GAUGCCUCAUGACCGCCGUCAGAUUUUUACGUGUUUUUAUGUAAAGUAUAAAGUGCAAAGUUGGUCAAAAUGAGCUAGUCACAAUUUACUUUCAUUGUCCUUUAGCAUUCCAAGACAGAUUCUUAGGUAAAUGCAAAUUAAUUCGAAUAUCACCUGGCGUGAUAUAGUAUCUUGACGGUCCCGAUUAUGCAACAUUAACCGAUCGGGGCACAUGGACCAUAUCACCAUGAUCUCUCCCAAGAGUUCUCCCAGACAUUAUUGCUGUCUCCCUUGU